GGCUUCUUGGUCCAGUGGUCAGGACGGCACCGAUAAUCCGCCUCGAAUGUGUCCUCGUUAAGGCCUCCUCAUCUACGAGUUGAGAUGUGCGGGCCUUGAGAAGGAUUCAUUCGAGGCUGGCUGUCAUGCAGACUGAGGUUCAAAUCCUUGAGAGGCCA